AUACCUUUCUCGGCCUUUUGGCUAAGAUCAAGUGUAGUAUCUGUUCUUAUCAGUUUAAUAUCUGAUACGUGGGUCAUCGACCCACAUGAUAUUAAAUAAAUUUUUUAAAGGGGAAGGCCUAACGCAGUAGCUUGCUACUGGGGCCUUCGCGCGUCGCCUAAACGUUGCACUACAGUUUGGGCUGGCACACCCCUC